UUUUUCACGGUGUUCGUUUUCCCUCUUCCCCCCCUCCCCUCUCUCUCUCCGAACCUCUCUGAAAUCCAAAGAAACGGCGGCGGAUCGUCGGAACAACGAUCUCCGGAGAAUCAGAAGCGUAAAUGGCGGCACCGGAAGCUCCGGCUGAUGAAACAGAUGGGUUGGGAAGAAGGAGAAGGGCUUGGCAAGGACAGGCAAGGGGUCAAAGGUGAAAGUUGUAGGAUUGAGAUGAGAAAACUGGAGCGGAGCUUCUUGGCCAAUGUACUUAUAUUAUGUGCACUUUUUCAAUUGUGUGAGAUUAUAUACGAAUGUAUGAACUAUGAAUUGAAUGCCCAAAUGUGAAAUCUGCGUUUAUGGUUAAGUUUUGUAAAUGUUGGUCGUAUCA